UUUGAUUAUUUACAAGAACCUGAUAUUGUUCUGUGGACAUCCAUGAUCGCAGGUUAUGUACAAAAUGGGGAGAAUGAAGAUGCUUUAAGCUUGUAUGGUAGAAUGCAGAGCAGAUGGAAGGGAUUUUGCCCAAUGAUCUAACAAUGGCCAGUGUCUUAAAAGCAUGUUCAAGCCUUGCUGCUCUGGAUCAAGGAAGACAGAUUCAUGCCCGCA
rnacentral:misc_RNA from 1 species